AGUGGCGGACGGGUGAGUAACGCGUGAGAAUCUGCCUUGGGGUCGGGGACAACCACUGGAAACGGUGGCUAAUACCGGAUAAGCCGAUUGGUGAAAGAUUUAUUGCCCGAAGAGGAGCUCGCGUCUGAUUAGCUAGUUGGUGAGGUAAGAGCUCACCAAGGCAGCGAUCAGUAGCUGGUCUGAGAGGACGAUCAGCCACACUGGGACUGAGACACGGCCCAGACUCCUACGGGAGGCAGCAGUGGGGAAUUUUCCGCAAUGGGCGAAAGCCUGACGGAGCAAGACCGCGUGAGGGAGGAAGGCUCUUGGGUUGUAAACCUCUUUUCUCAGGGAAGAAGCUCUGACGGUACCUGAGGAAUCAGCCUCGGCUAACUCCGUGCCAGCAGCCGCGGUAAUACGGAGGAGGCAAGCGUUAUCCGGAAUUAUUGGGCGUAAAGCGUCCGCAGGUGGCGAUUCAAGUCUGCUGUCAAAGCACGGGGCUUAACUCCGUAAAGGCAGUGGAAACUGAAUAGCUAGAGUGCCGUAGGGGUAGAGGGAAUUCCCGGUGUAGCGGUGAAAUACGUAGAGAUCGGGAAGAACAUCGGUGGCGAAAGCGCUCUACUGGACGGCAACUGACACUCAGGGACGAAAGCUAGGGGAGCGAAUGGGAUUAGAUACCCC
rnacentral:rRNA from 1 species